rnacentral:SRP_RNA from 1 species
UUGUGCUAGGUGGGGAGUUAGCGGUGUCCUAUACUCGAAAUCCGCUUAUGCGAGACUGAAUUCCGUCCUUAGGGCCUUACCAGGGAUGCGAGCUGUAAUGAUCGGCCGCCGCGCAACAGAUGCUCUUGAACUUCGUCAGGUCCGGAAGGAAGCAGCGAUAAGGGAAGCCGUCUGUGUCGUGGUUGAUCCCGAUUGAUUGCAACAUGUGUCUUUUGGAGAGGUUCGAUGGAGGGUGCACAA